CUGGAGGUUCUUGAAUGUGUUCUAAAAUAAAAAAUAAUAGCGAUACCGUAUCACAUUGGGUGAAGCAGAGUGUUACCUCUUUACUAGUGUAUUGCUCUCUGUUUAUGACUGAUAAUAGGACGUAACACAGGGAUGAGGAGAAAACAAUCAUUUGGAUCCUACACAACACGUUGUUGUACCUAAAUAAUUCCACAAGAGGGCGACAUAUAAACAUUUCUUAAAACCAAUUAACCUCUACUGCCUUCAGUCCAUGACGUCCCCGACUAACUAAAAGUCUGCGUCUGCAAAAAUGCUCUUUUAUCAUAACUCGACAUGAAAGUAGCAAAGCCAAAACAGUCAAUGACAUGCUUUUCGGGAUAUACAUUUAGCUAUGGUGGAAGAAAAGGUAAGUGAAAUAUAGGGGAAGGUAGAACAUGUUUUACAGUAAGUUUAAAGUUGUUAUCACCAAUUUAGCUCUGAUAGGCCUUUGGCAAUCCAAGCUUUUGGGAUCGUACUCAAGGCUACUUGGUUUAGGCCUGGCUAUAGCCUAGGGAUACAGUCCAAUAAUAUCUCCUUCUCCUGAAGUGUACACUCGUUCGCUUCUUCCUACAAAUCUAAAAUCAUUGGAUUGGUGGAGGCAUGGGCUAGAGAGGAAUAUGCUACCAAAUAGCACCUUAUUCCCUAAUGUAGGCCUACUUUUAAGGAAUGCACUAUAAGGAAUAGAUCAAUCAACUGGCUCACUAAAUGGGGUACCGAAAUACAUCCAAAAGAGGUCGACACGAAAUUAGACUAGGUUUAUUUCUGUUUUGACCUACUGAGUCGCAGUGCUUAGUGAACAGAUUUCAAUGUGGGCCUAGCUGUAUCGAAAACGGUUGAUGGGGAAAGUGUGUAAUCUGAUCAAUAUAUUUCCCCCCCAAUAUUAAUGAGAGAAUGGGAAUGUGCAUAAAGGUCUAACAUUCCAUGACGUGGUAUGAAGUUCUUAAUUCGUCAGUGGCUGCAAUAUUGUCCUCAGUAAACUCAACAUGAGUGAAAACAACACAGACAAGGACAAGUUUUUCGAGAUAUAAAAAAUACUGUAUGCUAUUAUGGAUGAAGAAAAGGUAGGUUAAAUGACACUAAAUAUUUGGGAAUGUAACUAAGGAAAACGUCAUUUAAGAUAACAUAGGCUAUUGCAAAACAAAUGUCUAAUUCUCUCUAUUAAGUCAAUCACCAGUUUAGCUCUGAUAUGGCUGUAGCUCUAUGAUGUCCUUUGCAAGAAUCUAAUCUGACAUUGACAUGAAAUUCCUAUGUCCUUCAGGUAGUACAGAGAGAUGAUGAUGAUCCCCCGAGGGAGGGGAGGGAGGUUGUUGAGGAAGAACCAGUGGCCCAGCUCAAGAAGGAGCCCAAGAAGACAGGAAAGGCGAAGAGGAAUAGUAGUUCCAAGAAGUCAGGGGAGCAGGGCACUGAUACGGAUCCAGGAUUGAGGAAUAAACACCCGGACAGAGGAUCUGUUAUUGAGCUCUUGGAGAAGAAUGCUCUUAAGGCUGCAUUCGGCCCAGGCAACAAAGAUGAGAUGGAGGACUGCUACCCAAUCCUCAUCUCAUUCAUGCGCAAUCUUACUGAUGAGCAAUGGCAAGUGAUCUAUAAAGGAUUUAAAAAACCUAUGACAAAGGAACAGCUUGCAAAAUUGUGCAAGACCAUUGUCAACUCCAUUACACAGACCACCCUGCAGAUCCUGCUGCCGGCCCUGGCCCGCAUUCUAGGGGUGACAGGCUUUUAUGACAACAAAUAUUUGGCGAAGGAGAUGUGUAGCUGUGGCGGCAGGGCUCUCCGACCAAGGUCUAGCACACCCUCUUCCAAGAGUUCCCAGACCUCACUGAAAGCCCACCUGGGAAUGCCAGAGGACAGUAUCAUCAGCAGUGCCCAGGAGCAACUGUCAAAAUCUGACCAAAUGGUGGCUGCAGGACAGCUUUCAGAAAUAGAUAAAGUGGUUGGAACUAUGCUGGAGAACAUUGAGAAGAUAAGCAGCGAAUUUGGCGAGGAAUUGGUCUAUCAAGAGUCACUGCGGUCUUCUUCCUCGUUGUCAUUCUCAACUGCCAAAUCACAGAAGACAGAGUGGGAAUUUGCACUCCCUGGCACUCCCAUUCCUUCUGAGUUACCCGAGAGUACUGCUCAGCCCAUUGUAAGAUGCUCAGUCAUUGACAUGAGCGAAUCUACUAAGCCAAAAACAAUGGUGUGUGAUGCCAGAACAAGCAUGUUUGCCAUAGCCGAUACCAUCAUGAAGAAGGUAUAUCCAGAGGCAGAAGGGCAGGUUACAUCUCACCCUGAUCUAACAGAUCCAAUAGCUAGACUGGAGGAGCUCAUAUCUCAGGGUAGGAUUGGUGCUCUCUCCCGUGAUCUCAGUCACCAAGUGAACCGCAUAAUUUCCGAUAGCAACUUGACCCCUCUGGGACUGACAGUGGCGGCUGGAAAGAGUGCAUCUGAUACCAUCCUUUCGAAGCUGAAGAGGAAUGACAAGGUGGGGAAGCCCACAACUUACGAGCUGGUUCAGCUGUUUGUAGAGGAGUCUGUUAAGUGCCUCCUGCUUCCUAGUUUUGUGCCCUAUUCAACUUCAAUGAGUUUGGCUCAGGGGGCCAAGGUGUUGGCUAGAGUGUCUGAAGAUAGAAUUUCAUGCUCUUCUUCUUCUUCAUCAGUAUUUAGUGACAGUCAGUCUCUUUACCAAAGUUAUGGUAAGCCAGGUCAUGUACUCUGUGGAUUCUGAUGCAGAAAGUAGAGGAUCCUCUCCAACUGAAUCUCUCCAAACAUCUGAACCCACUAUAUCUGAUGUAGGCAAUCUAUUGAGUGGCAAGUCCUCCCCUCGGCUGUCUCCUUCUGGCACCAUUAUGGCAACAAGCGAGACCUCCAAUGCAGCACAAAUCUUGAAGGCCAACAUUGAUGGAGAGGAAGUGGAUACCACCAGUCAUUCUGGUGUAGCUCAAAACAUUGUCAAGGACGAUAUGUCAACCAGCCCAGACAUGGUCAAAGAUGUCACACUUCCAACCCCAUCCUCUGAUAACUUGGGCAGUGAUGAUGACGUCACCGGCCUCAUCAGCAUGUUAGUAAUGAGAAUUCUAACAGAAAUCCAAACCCCAGCAGAAGAUUACCCAGUUGACGUCACACGCAAGUCACAAGACCUUAUCCCUAAAGUUAUGGAGGUCUUCUGUGCAUGGUCAGGCUGCUCUGAGACACAAGCCUAUCCAGAGAACUUGAGGAUUCAUAAAGUCUACAGAGUCGUCUAUAAAAAUCUGUUGGAGGAGUUUGGCUCGGAGAAAAUCCUCCAACAGGCCGUGACGACUCAGGACUCUUCAUUUGAUAGGAUUCUUGUCAAGUCUUUGAGUGAAGCGCUUCUCCACAGAUGUAAUGAGGCAUUGAGGGCAGCCUCAAGAACAUCAGUCAAAACCACCGGGCCUAAGGCUCUUCCACUGGCUGAGGAUGUGAGGGCUAGCAGCGGGAAACUAUCUUUUCUACAAAGGCUGGUCAGGCUGACAAGCAACUUAAAGGUACAGCAAACGUAUUUAAAUGAACAGUUGUGGGAGAUAAUGUGAGUAAACAAUGCUAUUCAGUGUAAAAAAUAUAAAACCAUCCGUUCAUUCCAAAACCAAUCAUAAAUGUUGUUGUGCUGGUGUGGUAGGUGUGAUUGUUAUCAUCAUGAAGUUGGUCAGCUGUGACAUUUUUUAAAACAUGUUUUUCUCUUUAAAUACUUAGCUAUUCAAGAAGGGGAACAAGAAGGAUUCCCACCGCUCUGAAUCAGAACAAGUACAGACCACUGCUGAAGAUGGCAUGCUGCCCAGCAUAGUGCCACAUGCUGCUAUGUCUGCACUGCCAAAGGAUCUCCCCGCCAGCUCCCAACAGGAGACGCCUCACAAACGUCCACUUCUCGUCAGGAUGUUUUCUGCCAUCUCCAAAGGCCUGUUCAAGCCCUUCAAACAGUCCUUAAAGACCAAGUAACUUCAGACAAUUUAUUAAACGUCAUUCAUUGCAUUAAA